rnacentral:lncRNA from 1 species
UUUGAUUUUCCUGAUUUUUUUGUGUUUCAUUUUUUUAACCUGACUAUGUAGCAAGAAUAUUAGAAAUAAAAUUUAGGAGAGGAUAGACAAUCCUUGGGUGUAUGGAGACAGGGAAUGGCUCCCGGCAGCUGAAUAAAUAGCAUGCAUGUAUCUGGCUUUCUGGGCCCUACCCAAGCCUUUUUACAACUACCAGGUGUUUUAUAGACACAUUUUUCUAUGAAGUAGUCAAACUGUAAACAGCAUGAAUCCUGAAUGAUAAUCGUGUCUUAAUAAUAAUAAAAGAAAGAAAAUAAGAGACAAGCAUCACGAUUUUCCCAAUUGAAAUGUCUUUUGGUUUUGCCUUUGGUGGCACAGGGUCAAGGGUGUGGGGGCAUUUGUGUGGCAUUCACUAUUCUUUCAACCUGUCCUGAUUAUGGAACCCUUUAAGGUCCGUCCACUUGGAACCACGGUGCUCUGAGAGGACGCUGAACUCACAGCAGCCCACACACAAUUCCAGUGAUACUACUGCAAUGUUUUGUACACAGAAUCUUAGGUUUGUUGGGUAAAUGUAGCAUCAUAUUUUGUUUUAGCAAUUUGUGAACAGUCUUGCUUCUCUUCACACUUAUAAGCUCAUCAGGCUAAGGAUUAAAUCGUAUGCACCCAAAUACCUCUUAGUAUACAAACGUCUGCACUCAGUAGCGUUUCUGGCUGAGCAGGUGGAAGAAGGGCCACGUUCGCCAAUGUCAUGAGGGGCCAGCAUCUUUAACCUUCACGCCCACAUCACCAGCCUUGCCUUCUUCACAACAGAAAUGUUGUCCCACUUCCUUUCCAGGUCUCUCAGAUUCAUGGUACGAGUUGGAAAGAGACCUGAGAGAUUAUUUAGGCUAAACGUUUCAUUUUAUAAAUGACAAAAUUAGGGUUGAGCAAAAUGUGGUGAUUUUGUCUGUGCAAAGCCAAGAAAAAAAAUUAGAGCCUCUUAAAAGUCAUUUUUCCCCUGAAAUAAAGUAUCUUCAUUUCACUGUUAAAUAUAUGUCCUCAUGUAGUUGCUAUAAUCAACCACUUCUCAAGAAAACUCUAAAAGCUGUAUUUCCCAUAUGACACAUUUCAGAAUAUUACAUAAGAAGCUCUCACCAAGACACCAAGGUAAAAUAUAUAUGACAAGCCAAAGACAGGUGCCAUAAAAAAAUAAGAAAUCUUCAAAGGGGAAAGAAAUUCCAAAAGUGGCAACAUGACACCACUCAUUCUCUGCCUACUUUCGAGGUAAGACGAUGUUGAAGUUCUGAGGGGGCUCAGUAAAUAACACCUCUCUUCCCCCUCCAGGUCCUGCACAAAUUGAAAACAUAAAAGGUAGCAGAUGGACUCAAAUGCCACCUUCAUGACUGAGGUGCCAAGCUGGAGGGCAGGAGUUGCCCUCUGGUCCUGGUUUAGGCUGACCUUCUGAACGGGGCCUGAGGGCAGGACCACACGGGCAGGGAUCAGAAAGGAGCUGGAGGAGAGCUCAGAAGGGAGGGCGGGCCCAGCUCUCUUGGCGGCCAAGGAAAAAGCCUGGCAUGUUAGAGCUGGUGCAGGACUCUCCAGGGUGACCGAGCCACCCAGAAGAGGGAAAAGCCAUUCUCCAUAACAAAAAGUCAGGACCGGCUGAAAGCCCCUCCCAGCCCUCCACCCUCCUUCGGCGGGGCUUCUUUCUGAGCUUUGCCCCAUCCCUGCCCCGUGCUGGUGACUGGUGUUUGGCUCCCUCCUAGAGAAAGAGAUGGGCCUGGGUUGGUUGAGAGAGAAAGAGAGAGAAAGGGAGAGACAGAGAGAAGGCUUAGCUCUUGUCCAACAGGGCCACCUAGAGGGACUCUCAGGCUUGAGCGGGAGAAGCAGAGUUUUGAGGCAGAGCUGAUCAAGGGAACCUCAACAAACAACCCCAGCCAUGGAGGCGGCGGUGUCUUUGAAGACCCCAUGAGAGCAUCAAACAAGGGAGAGAGCCUGGAACAAAUCAUGGUAGUAAAAUGGCGGCAGAGAGCUAGUAAUGUGUCUGCAAUUGGUGGGUUCUUGGUCGCACUGACUUCAAGAAUGAAGCCGCGGACCCUCACGGUGGUGUCUUUGGUGGCUGUUCACCCUUCCACAGUAAACAUGCUUGGGAAGCAACUUUGCCAAAAGCCUUCGGACAGUCCAGCGUCAACACCGCAAGCCAAGUGAAGGAGGAGAAAAAUCUGCGCCUCUUUCUCUCAAGGGAUACUUUGUCUCUGGGGUACUUUCUGACCCAGUGGACCCCUGGCAGAAGUAAGCGUGGACUGUGGCUGCAGGACCACGCAGAGUCAACACGAACCGAAGCCAGGCCUUGGCCACGGCAGCUCUGGGGUCCAACCACUUGAUCAAUGCAGGAAAUGCUUUGAUGGCAGAAUUCUUCCAUGGCCAGCUUCUCAUAUUCUCUGGGACAGACACAAACCAAGAAAAAUGAGUGUGGCGCAGAAUCUGAUGUGUCCUUCCUUACCCCGUGCUGGUAGCAAAAAGUAUGUCUUGAACUUUUCUUUGUUACACACAGUCUGGGUAAUAACAGACUGAAGGAAAACUAAAGAAGCUUGGGAGGCUAAGUUCAAUGACAAAUGAAGAACUAAGGCAGAGAAAAAAGAGAAUUGAGAAAGUGUCUGGGUGUCUGGAGAGGUUGGGGGAAUAGAGAGGGAGGAGAUAUAAUUGGCCAGAUAACUUGAGAGUGGGAGAGGAGUGCAAACAUUAUUUUUGAGGCGCUUUGUUGGAUAUUUAAAAUGCACUCCUACCUUUGGCAUUUUCUCAAAAGGCAAGAAAGAUUUGUUUUCAAUUCUAUUUUUCUGCUGGACUGAACCAGUGCCAAGACUGGACCAUGUAGGAUCCUGGGUUUAUUUCAGUUACAUAAGCAAACGUUGCUGUGAUUUGGAAUAGUCAAAGUCAUGAAUGUUUCUCAACUUCCAUUUUGUCAGCUGCUUGAGUUUCUAUUCUGAGAGGUGCUAACUGUGAACAUUGUUAUUCACUUGUGUUCCCUAAAUCACUUUUAAUUAGUUUUAAUUUGAACCAAGAAUGUUCUACUGUUGAAACUAUGUCAAGAAUGAUCAAAAAUGAAAUUAAUAAAGAAUUCGCGUCAAAAAAAAUUUGCACUAAUAUUACAGUAUUUUAUAAUGUCUAUCUCAGCAGAGUCACAGAUAAUUUAGAAUUUUUAAUUUUGUUUUUAAGUGAUUUUCCUCAAAGCUAUAAUAGCCUUGGUAAAGAGUUUAGUUAAACAUUAUUUUUCACCUCUCACGCAUUUUGUGUAAUGAAAUUUUUCUAUCAUCUUCCAGUGGAAUUAAUUGCAUUGGUGCAAAAAAUGCAAUCAAAUCGAUGACUGAAUUUAGCCUUUGAAACCUCACGUCUAGCUGGGAUAGUUACUAUAUUCAUUACAUACUGAAAAAUGAUAAGCAGUAAGCUUUUCUGCUAAAAAACUGCCAAAGAUAAGUUUUUCAAGGCUCUCAAAAUAUCCUAAAGCUGACAAUACAAGAAAUGUUAAAAUAUUGUUGGAAUUUUUAACGGAAUCUUCCUUCUCUUCUUUUCCUGUUUAAGACAAUAGUAGUUAGUUGUCCACUAAUCGUUAAUACACGAUUUUCUAACAAAGACUUGCAUAUCCUUUUGGCUAAAAAGUGGCCAAAUAUCAGAGAGCUAGAAGUUUGGGAGACAGCCUUUAGUCUUUUCCAAAGCAUGUAAGCCCUUUUGAAUCAUUUUGGGUAAAUGGCGAAGAUUAAACAGAAUUCAUAAAGGGUUUCUGAUACAUAAGUGGAAUGUGCCUGUGAGGACACUACACAUGACAAUAAUCUAAGCAUGCUCUCUUUUAGUCCCAAAACGUGUAGAGUAAUGUCACAUGAAAUUUACAGGAGGCCAUUGACUUGGACUGAGCUCCUGCACCAGGCCUAACAGACCAAACCAAAAUGGAGUCACUCAUGCUGAAGUUCACACCACCAAGCCAAAACUGAGUUGUUUAUCCGAUCUUCCAAGAAAUCAAGAAAGACAGGGAGAUAACAGCCCAAUCCCCAAACAGGCCAGUUUUUGCUGGCAUGAUAGGAAGGCCCCUCUGCUUCAAACUUUCCAAAGAAAGUAACUUGGAAACAACCAAUCUGCUUUUUGUUCUCCGUUUCUGCUUUCCUCAACCAUUUUCUGACCAUAAAACCAACAUCCUUUGCUCGGCUCAUGGGAACAUUCAUUCUAUUUUGUAGAAUGAGGUGUUGCCCGAUAUUCUAGAUUUGCAAAUAAAAGCCAAUUAAGAUCUUUAAAUUAAAUCUGUUGUAACUUUGUCUUUUGACACUAAUAAAUGCACGAACAGGUUUCUUUAGAGAAAGCCCGUGAUAUGCAGGGUAUGUUUGACAAGUGCUGUGGUCAAAUGUGAUACUGUUUACAUUCUCAUUUUCAUAAUUUUCUUAAGUACUAUGUAAUUUGGUCUUGGGAAUGCUUCGCUAAUUACGGGUGAGGAGGAUGGGCCUUGUAUGUGACAGAAUGAUUUAGUGUUCUGUAGUUCAGUGGAAAGAGUGUAGAUGUGUUGAAUAUUUAUGACGUUUUACCUUCUCUCUUUGUUACAGAGGCCUUACAACAAAUUAAAACAUGUGUGUCAGCUCCCUAAUUAUCUAGCUAGACUUUUAAAGAUUGGCUAGUUAAGGCUGAAUUUUAUUCAAGCACUACUUCAUCUGUCAUACUAUUUUAAGUACAUUAGCCUUGUUAGCCUAUUAUAUGGCCAUGAUCAGUACUGUUUAAAUUGCCAACUUCUACAAGUCCCUUCUGUGUGCUCUGGCUCAAUCAAUGCAUUAGUGGUACUAGCUUAGUUUUGUCACAGUUCUGGGCACAUUGGCAGUCCCCGGGUGGGAGGCCUGGAGCUCCUGAGUAAACAUAGUGCAUCUGCCUGGAGCUUCAAUUUUACUUGAGGAUUUGGAAAAAUAUAAAUUAAUCGAUUUAACCAUUUAUUUAAUGUGCUCCAAUUCUUUAUUUAAUUGGCUGCAAAGCAAACAAAAUUAUGCAUUAGCUAUGUUAUGACUAAAACCCAAAUGUUGUUGAAUACUUUCAG